rnacentral:misc_RNA from 1 species
AAAGUAUAAAGAGAUAUGGGA